rnacentral:rRNA from 1 species
AUGUGUUCGGUUGCUGUCACCAGAUGGAAUGGCAUGGGUCCGUCCCGUCCCGAGAGCCCAUUCUCACGUUCGGUUAGUAGAUGGAACCAGAACCCACCAGUCCUAGAAAAGGGAAUAUUCGGUCUAUAUGCGGAACCGACGCAUACCUCCGAUUCGAGCGGACGACAAGGAAUGCGCAUCUCUCCCCUCGCACCCGAGCCCUAUCCUAUCCCAUCUCUCCUUCCCAGCGCCGCCACCCUCCCGCAUCUCUCCCUCCCUCUCGAUCUGCCACGCCCCCGCUCCUCUCUCAGCGCCGCCCCUCACGCACCUCUCCGGCGCCGGCUUCCCUCUUCUCUGCGAUGGCGCGCAUCAAGGGCUUGGCCGCGACCUAGCAGCAGAGGCGACCUAGCAGGCAGCGGCGGCAGCGACCUACCAGGCGGCAGCGGCGGCGGCGACCUAGCAGGGCGGCGACCUAGCAGGCUGCAUCGACGAACCAGCAGGGCCAACAUAGGCAAGAUGGUCAAGAUGAGCAAAAGAAAAAGGAUGGCUAGGGGAGCAGCUGUUUUUGUUGCAUUAGCUGCAAUGGCAGUCAUUGUUCGGGCUAUAAUAAGGAAGAGAAGACCACGUAUUACCUAUGGCCCAAUGCAUGAAAGAGAUCGAAUCAGAUUUGAUUAUCUAAACCAAAAAAUUUGGCAAAGCGAUGUGUUAUGCAAAAACAUGCUAAGGUUUGAAAGAGCUGCAUUCUUUCGUUUGUGUGGUAUAUUGAGGGAUCACGAUUUGCUAGAAGACAGUCCACAUCUUAGUGUGGAGCAACAAUUGGCAAUGUUUUUGCAUACAAUUGGGCAUAACCUUCGGAAUAGAGUUGUUUCAGCCAAUUUUGGUAGAUCAUACGGCACAACAAGCAUCUAUUUUAGAAAGGCUCUUCAUGCCAUAGGCGAGCUUCGUAAUGAUUAUAUAAGGCCACCAUCAUUGGAAACCCCCGCAAAAAUUGCAGGAAAUCAUCGAUUUGACUCAUAUUUUAAGGAUUGUAUUGGAGCUAUCGAUGGUACACAUGUGCGAGCAGGUGUUACCAAAGAUGUGGAGCCUUCUUUUCGUAGUAGGAAAGCCUUUACCACUCAAAAUGUGAUGGCAGCAGUAGAUUUUGACCUCCGCUUCACAUAUGUUUUGGCUGGAUGGGAAGGGUCCGCACACGACGCGACCGUCUUAGCUGAUGCGUUAACUUGUGAGAGAGGCUUACAAGUACCACCUGGAAAGUACUACCUAGUUGAUGCCGGUUAUGGAGCCAAGCCAGGGUUCUUGCCACCUUUUCGUGGCGUGAGGUACCAUUUGAAUGAGUGGGGCAACAAUCCGGUCCAGAAUGAUAAGGAGCUAUUCAACCUUAGGCACUCAUCUCUACGGGUGACGGUAGAGAGGGCUUUUGGAUCUCUCAAGAGGUUUCAAAAUUUUAGAUGA